CCCCCCCACUGGGCACCCCAAGGUCGACUUGUCCGGCGGUGCGGAUAUUUGACCAAUCGAUAACAUGACUGAUCAAUCGAUAACAUGACUGAUAUCCUAAUCGUCAUGUUAAGCGUAGUUUUUUCGUUUGACUCUGAACGUCAGUGGCAACAUCAGUAUACCACACAACGGCAUGUCUGCUCUUCCCUUUCGUUAGAAUCAAGAUUUCGUUUGCUUCUGUCCUCGUUUUUUUUUUCUGUUGUACUUCCUCCUUUUCACAAAGAACGACGCCCAUGUUUUACAAGGUCGUCGAUCGACUUGUUUUUGGUUUGCGUUCUCUAUCUCUUUGAGAGUCUGAUUUUGUGGCAUCUAUUUCCGGUUGUCGUGUUUGCCUCCGCAUGUUGGUUACAGGAUUGGACCUGGUAGAUUUGGAAUUGAAGCUCCGCUCCCAGUGUCAUCGUCUCGUGGUGAGGGGAAUUCGAAGCAGGCCAACCACAGGCUUUUGUAUUUGUUUCGCUCCUUUAGAGCUGGAUGGAGUCACAGAUGAACGAAGUUCUGCAGAGAUGAGCCGAAUGGUGGAGGUUUUCGUUCGUAGUUAUUUUGAUUCGUUGGGUUCGACGAUUAUUUUGAUCAGAGCGUCUGAAAUGAAGUUCUGGUGUUAUAUUGAAGCUGGAUCGGAUCGAUUUUCGACCUACGAAUGGGGAAUUAUAGAGCUUAGCGGGAGAACCUAUUUUGCUUCAGUCGGAUACUCGGUUCCCUUUCCAACCUGCAACUUGUUUGUGUUUGAUCAGAGCGUCUGAAAUGAAGUUCUGGUGUUAUAUUGAAGCUAGAUCGGAUUGAUUUUUGACCUACAACUUGAUCUGUGUUCGGAUAAUCAAUCUCAAUCCCCCUCGGUUUACUUCCUUCAUAACAUAAUUUUGUGUCCGGCGAUUUCUGAUUUCAAUUUGUUGGUUGGUGGUUGUACAGAAUGGGAAAUUGUAGAGCUUAGCGGGAGAUCCUAUUUUGCUUCAGUCGGGUACUCGGUUCCCUUUCCAACCUGCAACUUACUUGUGUUUGGAUAGUCAAUGUCAAUCUCACUCGAUUUACUUUCUU